rnacentral:rRNA from 1 species
GUCCACGCCGUAAACGAUGUCAACUAGGUGUUGGGACGGUUAAUCGUCUCAUUGCCGCAGCUAACGCAAUAAGUUGACCGCCUGGGGAGUACGGUCGCAAGAUUAAAACUCAAAGGAAUUGACGGGGCCCGCACAAGCGGUGGAGUAUGUGGUUUAAUUCGACGCAACGCGCAGAACCUUACCUGGUCUUGACAUCCCGGGAAUCCUGUGGAAACACGGGAGUGCUCUUCGGAGAGCCCGGUGACAGGUGCUGCAUGGCUGUCGU